AGGCCUCUCCAGCUUCAAACAGGUUCUUCUUGGAGGCGACCUCGGGUGAACUGGGCAGAUCAGUCAGCGAUGCCUUCACUGCCCGCGCUUCCUGAGAGUUCUGCACAGUGACACGUCUGUUACUGCAGGCUGUUUCACAAGCUCAGUGGGAGCUUUGCUGCAGGAUGGCGUCAUCGCUCACAGCACGGGAGGAAACGUCUUUUAUUGCCUGAUUCAUUCGAGCUGCAGCUGCUCUGUUGAAAAGCAGAUUCACACCUGAUGGUGAACAGCAGCUGGAACGACAUCAUUCAUUAAUGAGCCGCUGAGGGACCCACUACCUCCAAUAAAACCCUCUUUAAAACCCAAGGAGCACCUGAUCCGGUGUGAACCAGUCACACCCGUCCAUACAACAAGCCGACACAGCAGCGUUGAUGGGCUGCUGAUCCCCCUCCUCCCCGUUAGCAACCGUGACACAAUAAACAUUGACUU